rnacentral:lncRNA from 1 species
UCGAGGCACAUUUUCCUUAAUGUUUUGGCGAAGAUAACGUUGAGGCCGCUCCCGCCGUCGAUGAGUACUUUGGUUAACUUCGAACCUGCCACGACUGGAUCCAGCCACGACUGGAUCCAGGACUAGUGGAAAACGGCCUGGUUCUAAAAAUUUUGUCCAUGGAUCUUUUCUGCUGAAAGAAAUUGGAACUUCCGACCACUUUAGCGGUGUGGGGUCCGUC